CAACUCCUGGAAUGCACGAUAAUGCCCUGAUAUUUUGAACCUACAACAUUAAUAAGGGAGUUCGACGUUUUCGUACGGAUGUCAGGCCGCUUUAAGCGGAAGGCAGAAAUACGGGACAGGACACCCACCUAGAUUCUUCUAGGCGUCAAAAUUCGGGGGACGGCAUUUCGGGAAAAAA
rnacentral:other from 1 species